GACGAACGCUGGCGGCGUGCUUAACACAUGCAAGUCGAACGGUGAAGCUCCAGCUUGCUGGAGUGGAUCAGUGGCGAACGGGUGAGUAACACGUGAGCAACCUGCCCCUGACUCUGGAAUAAGCGCUGGAAACGGCGUCUAAUACUGGAUACGAGAAGGGUCCGCAUGGGCACUUUCUGGAAGUUUUUCGGUUGGGGAUGGGCUCGCGGCCUAUCAGCUUGUUGGUGAGGUAAUGGCUCACCAAGGCGACGACGGGUAGCCGGCCUGAGAGGGCGACCGGCCACACUGGGACUGAGACACGGCCCAGACUCCUACGGGAGGCAGCAGUGGGGAAUAUUGCACAAUGGGCGAAAGCCUGAUGCAGCGACGCCGCGUGAGGGAUGACGGCCUUCGGGUUGUAAACCUCUUUCAGCAGGGAAGAAGCGAAAGUGACGGUACCUGCAGAAGAAGCACCGGCUAACUACGUG
rnacentral:rRNA from 1 species